rnacentral:rRNA from 1 species
AACGUAGGAGACAAACGUUAUCCGGAGUUACUGGGCGUAAAGGGCGUGUAGGUGGUUUCGUAAGUCUGGCGUGAAAUUUUUCGGCUUAACCGGGAAAGGUCGUCGGAUACUGCGGAGCUAGAGGACGGUAGAGGCGUGUGGAAUUCCGGGUGUAGUGGUGAAAUGCGCAGAUAUCAGGAGGAACAGCCGGUGGCGAAGGCGGCUCACUGGUCCGAUACUGACGCUGAGGUGCGAAAGCGUGGGGAGCAAACAGG